rnacentral:tRNA from 1 species
UGGCGCUUAGUUCAGCGGUAGAACACCUGCCCUACAAGCAGGGUGUCGCAGGUUCGAUCCCUGCAGCGCCAACCA